AAUAUACUCCCUCCGUCCCAUAUUAAGUGACUCAAAUUUGCCCAAAUAUGGAUGUAUUUAUACCCAAAAAGCGUCUAGAGACAUGUAAUAUUUCGUCAUUUAAUAUGGGACGGAGGGAGUAUAUA
rfam:Brachypodium distachyon strain Bd21 chromosome 4, whole genome shotgun sequence.